AGUACAGAAUCUAUCGUUUUAAAUAGUGUGUGUGGGUUGUGACGGUUAGCUAGAAUAAGGUCCGACAGAUAUUCUCUUUUGGCCUCUUUUACUGUGACCUGGUAGUUACACCAGCAGUCUUUCCAAAUUUGAUAAGAGACCUGCAAUUUGUCUUUUUUCCACUUGCGUUCGGCUUUGCGACACCCCUGCCUAGCUGCGCGAGAAAUAUAAAUACAAUACA